rnacentral:rRNA from 1 species
CCUACGGGAGGCAGCAGUGGGGAAUCUUGCGCAAUGGGCGAAAGCCUGACGCAGCAACGCCGCGUGCGGGAAGAAGGCCCUCGGGUUGUAAACCGCUUUCAGCAGGAACGAAAAUGACGGUACUUGCAGAAGAAGGUGCGGCCAACUACGUGCCAGCAGCCGCGGUGACACGUAGGCACCAAGCGUUGUCCGGAUUUAUUGGGCGUAAAGAGCUCGUAGGCGGUUCGGUAAGUCGGGUGUGAAAACUUUGGGCUUAACCCAAAGCCUGCAUCUGAUACUGCUGUGACUAGAGUUCGGUAGGGGAGCGGGGAAUUCCUAGUGUAGCGGUGAAAUGCGCAGAUAUUAGGAGGAACACCGGUGGCGAAGGCGCCGCUCUGGGCCGAUACUGACGCUGAGGAGCGAAAGCGUGGGUAGCAAACAGGAUUAGAUACCCUGGUAGUCCACGCCGUAAACGUUGGGCACUAGGUGUGGGUUUCAACCAACGAAAUCCGCGCCGUCGCUAACGCAUUAAGUGCCCCGCCUGGGGAGUACGGCCGCAAGGUUAAAACCUCAAAGGAAUUGACGGG